rnacentral:snRNA from 1 species
GAAUACCCAGCUUGAUAAGGCUCCUACGACAUCUGUCACCCCAUUGAUCGCCAGGGUUGAUUCAGCUGAUCUGGCUGGAUAGGCAGGUGUCCCCUUCCUCUCUCAUCGCUCCAUGUGUGUCCCUCCUAAAGCUGCAUGCUAGGUCAAAGCUGCAUGCUAGGUCAAAGCUGCGUGCUAGGUCAAAGAGGACGACCAGCCCCGAUAGAGGAGGACUGGUCUUCAGUCAAGGGUAUACAAGUAGCUGUGCUCCCCGGCUAGAACCUCCAAACAAGCUCUCAAGUUCCAGAAGGAAGUGAAAGAAAAAGGAAACCAAGAAAGU